rnacentral:rRNA from 1 species
UGGGCGCAGCCUGAUCCAGCAAUGCCGCGUGAGUGAUGAAGGCCUUCGGGUUGUAAAGCUCUUUUGUCAGGGAAGAAACAGCAGCUCUANCNCAGUCUGCGANUGACGGUNCCYGAUNAAUAAGCACCGGCUAAAUACCUG